GUAUGUUUUGAAAAUUUCGUACCUGCACGUUCUUCCCUCCUGCCCCUCCCUGCCCCCUUCCUCCCCUGUGUAUAGUAACACGGUGACGUGCUUUAACUAUUUGAAAUAUUUUGUCUAUUAACUGAUUCUAUUUCAAAACUGUGUUCCAGACAUAAGGAGUGAAACUGGUUCCCAGUUUCUCCAGCAGUAUGCCUAUUUCCUACAGUGACUUUGCAGCACAUGUGCACACUUCUAGCAAGUGCUUGCAUGUUUGAGUUCUGUCCUCAUUGGGUUCAGUGCAUCACAAUGAAAGAUCAUCAGCCACAAAGGAUUAAACUAAGAUUGUCCCGUACACUUCUGCUUUAGUAGCUGAAGAAGCAAGAAAUAUUAUGAUGGAAGAAAUAGUUUGGUAAAAGUAACCAACUGCGUGUAAAAUACACUUGCAAGGCAAGACACAUUGCAAUUAAAACUGUGUAUUAAACAAACUAUAGUAAAAUCUGUGUGCUCCACACAUGGCCCAUUUCUGGAAAAUAAAAGAAGAAUACCCUCUUUAGCCUGAUCCAGUGUUAAAUGACGAGUGAACAGUCACAUUUUGAUUAGUACAAAAGAGAGUUCAAGGAGUAAAAACAGAAGAUGACUUUCCUGUUAUCCUGAAGGAAAUUAGUUUCUACGUUCUCAUUCAGCUUUAGAUAGAAGACUACUCUGAAUAAAGAUGUAAAGAUGCAUGCUUGUGAUAAUGGAGAAACUGGAUAGACAGAAAAAGCUGGCAGCAUCUUCCUCAGUUCACAUGGAACAUACUGGAACAAAGAUAUCCAAGAACACUGAAGACUAACAGGCAAGGAUAUGGGCUUCCUGAAGGGACUUAUGCCUUUGCUGAUGCUCCUCUUCUAAUUCCUGGAUCUCCUGAGUCAGCCUCUGUCGCUCCUGACUGAACUGGGC